GCCGACCAUAUCUCCAGCUGCCGACCCUGCGCCACUGUCUCGGGGACGCCGGGCGGCAUCUGCCCAGCAGCUUGGCCCCGGUGGCGGCGGGGAGGAAGCGGGACGCAGCCGGCUCCUGGCACGGGGACACGCGAGCAUCCCGCGCGUUCGGGACCCCCGUCCGCCAGCACUUCCCCUCCCCACUGCCGCCACCACCCUCCCGAAACCUGGUGGUGGCAACAAGUUUUUCCCCGCCGCCCCGGGGCUUUUGUCUGCAGCUUUCAGCUCCCGUCCGUCAGGCUGAAUGGCUCCAUUCAUCCCGCGCUCACGCGGCCGCGAGCGGUGCAAAGGGCUCUGGCUGUCCCGGUGAAAAAAUCCCCCCAGCUCCGGAGCCCCCGGCCCCAGGGAGCGGGGUUUAACCCGGCCCCGAGCUCCCAGGGGACCAAAAACCCGUGCAAAGGGACAGGGACGCGGGCAGCAGCUGCUCGAAGCCGUGUUGCGGCAGCAAGGUGGCCCAGCCUGCCCCAAAUCCCCCGCUUUUCAGGGCUAGAACCUCCGGAGACGGCGUCCCUGCGUCCUGCGAUGCUGUGGCCGGGCUCGGGGGCUCUGCCCCCCCGGGUGGCACCCAUGGGACUCCGGGUUUGGGAUUCCCAGCGCUCGGGAUUGCAAGCGCUCACGUGCAGCCGGGCUGACAUCACUACAAAAACCACCCCAAAACACGCCGCGAAGCCAGCUAUCGCCAUCACCCCCGCCCCUUCCUCCUCCUCCUCCUCCUCCUCCUCCCCCCUCCCCCCCCCCCCCCCCCCCCGGGGUGCCUCCUGCUUUCCCAAAUCGCGGUGCGGGCAGGGGGCACGGCGCGAGCAUCCUCCUCCGGCCGGGAUGCGCCGGGCGCUGCUCUCGGGCUCCUCUUUCCCCGCUACCGCCCGCGACUUCAAGGAAGAGACGCUAAUGAAAAGCAGCUGCUCGGAAUACCAGAAAGAUGAUGAAUGCGCGUUAAGUCCCCUUAACAAAACCAGGUCUUAUGAGAGUCGCCUGGAGCACUUACUUCAUUGCUUUAAUUUGUGA
rnacentral:lncRNA from 1 species